GGUCAAUCUAAGACUCCUCCUCCCCUGUGGAGACAGCCAAUCGCAUGGCCACAGGCAGGUGAUCCGUGAGGCCAGCCAACUGCGUUACAAAGUUGAACUCCUCUAGUUCCUGUAGAGGAAGGAAGAAGAAUUUCCUGAACCACAUGUGGGAUUGUGUCCAAUACAGAAUAUCUGUCGCUGAGAAUGCCAAAGACACCAUACGUUUUACUAGCCGAGAGUUGGAACCAUUCCUGCUGCAGGACCUCGUCACUGUACAGGAUGUAGUCAAUCCGACGUCCAUUGCCUUUCAGUGGAAUGUUCCUUCCUUUCUGGCUGCUGGAGGGACACUGGCUUUUGCUUGGAGGAAACACCAGGAUGAUGUGAUGAAGCUUGGCGGAACUCUGCCCCCCACUGGAGCAACAAGUCCAGCUGUUCACAUCGCACAGAGGCAUCACCUGGCAGAAAAUACAGGGAAAUGUCUGAUUUUGUCAUCAGUGUUAAAGUGAAACCAAACAGGAGGGGGGAAGAAAUGUCAACACAGAGAAGAGUCUUCUAACAAGCCGGACAAUGAAUGGAUGAAUAAAAAAAAAAUGGAAAAGUUUGUGAAAUCAGGCUUCAAAAUGGUCAAGAAUUGAGACAUUCUUUCAGCUUGCAGACGCUGUGGCCGUGUCGCUGAGAGCUCUGAAAAUCCCGCCUCUC